UACGUAGGCGGCGAGCGUUGUGCGGAAUUACUGGGCGUAAAGGGCGUGUAGGCGGGGCGGCAAGUCAGAUGUGAAAUCCCAUGGCUUAAAUGUGGAGCUGCAUCUGAAACUGUCGUUCUUGAGUGUCGGAGAGGAAAGUGGAAUUCCCAGUGUAGCGGUGAAAUGCGUAGAGAUUGGGAGGAACACCAGUGGCGAAGGCGGCUUUCUGGACGAUAACUGACGCUGAGGCGCGAAAGCGUGGGGAGCAAACAAG
rnacentral:rRNA from 1 species